GAGGGUGUAUCUCAGUGGUAGAGAGUUGUGCUUGGCAUGCAUGAGGUCCUGAGCUCAAUCCCCAGUACCUCCA
rnacentral:tRNA from 1 species